GGGGGCGUGAGGCUUCGACAGCAGAAGGCCUACAGAAUAGCAGGUCGAGGUGCCAUCUACCUCGUAAAACAGGUGGCAAAAGACAACUGCCGAAGCAGUUCCAAUUGCAGCCUAAUUAAGGCUGCACAUCCAACCUGACCUCACCCUGAUGGGUCGGGAUUGGGUGACGAAAAGUCGGGGUGCUCCAAUCUUGACGUCGAUGGAGGUUGGCUAAGUAUUAUCGACUGGCUUAGCUAUGCUUUGCCAGCGGAGGCUGGUUAGGUGAGAUAAAAAAACUGGCUAAACUUGUAGCAGAUUCUGGCAACCUUCUUCUGGACGGGGAGUUCAACCCUCCCCCGCCUCCACCA
rnacentral:tmRNA from 1 species